AAAAAUACAAAUCCUAGGUUUCCGUGUCCGACGUUUAACCGUCCGUCUUAUUUGAAAAAAAUAUGAAAAAAAUUAAAAAGACAAGUCACGCAUAAAGUAUUAAUCAUGUUUUAUCAUCUAACAACAAUGAAAAUACUAAUUAUAAAAAAAUUCCAUAUAAGACAGACAAUCAAAUAUUGGACAAAGAAACCCAGGGUUUGUCUUUUU
rfam:Oryza glumipatula chromosome 8, whole genome shotgun sequence.